ACGGGAGGCAGCAGUAGGGAAUCUUCCGCAAUGGGCGAAAGCCUGACGGAGCAACGCCGCGUGAGUGAUGAAGGUCUUAGGAUCGUAAAACUCUGUUGUUAGGGAAGAACAAAUUUGUUAGUAACUGAACAAGUCUGACGGUACCUAACC
rnacentral:rRNA from 1 species